CAAUGAGCAUGGUGGUGAAAAGUGGAACUAAAGAGGUGUAUGCCAAACCACCGGUAGCAUCGUUGAGGAGCUCAACUAGAGCAAGGCUACUGUCUGCAGAGUCAGGGAACGCUUGGCUAAUGGCAAUGACCUAAGGAACAAGCCUCUCUCCGGCAGACCUGUAAAGAUUGAACCAGAGCAUAUCAAGGCGGCCUUUGAGGCUACGCUGACCAUGAAGAUGCUUGAAUUUGCAGAGAAGAAGUCCGUGGACCAUUCCACUGUGUCCAAGGUAGUCAAAGAAGCGGGUGGUUGGUCUCAGAGAAAAAUCAAAGAACUACUGUUGACAGAACGUCAUGAAGAACUUUUUCUGGAGCAUCGUCAGAGCUAUCUCUUGGACUUGAAGCACCAUGGCAAUUGAGUUGUCUUAUUCUCCAAUGAGAACACUUUUACAGUAGACAUCCCGUCUAUAGCAAACAGAACGACCAAAUCAUUUGCUUUGGGAACAACUCUAGUGCAUUGCAAAGUGUGUCCAAGACCAAACAUCCGGCCUUUGUGAUGAUGCCUGGCAUUGUUGCAUCAAUGGGGGACAAGAUACCACCAAUUCGAUUCCCAACAAGGUACAGACUCAUGGGCGCUGACUACUUGGAGAUAUUGAAGACCAAAGUGGUCCAAUAGGCCUUGAAGAGUACCAAGAAGUUAGCAAAGUCUUCUUAUGUCUUUCAACUAGACGUGACACCUGGCCACACAUGCAAGGCCAUGCAGAAUUGGGUGGAGGCCAGUUUGAGGUUUUGGCCAAAGACAAUGUGGCCAUCACAGAGCCCUGACUGGACUUCGGCAUGUGAUGGCAUGUUGAGAGCCGGGCCUGCCACAUUCGUCAUUGCAGUAGUGAGAACCUAAGGACUUCCAUUGGGAAGUACUGGAAGACCAUGAAGAAGCCCUAUGUCAUUGGCGUGUGCCAGUCCUUCCAAUGCCGCGUGGAAGCUCCCAUCGAGGCCAAUGGUGAUGAAAUUCACAAAUGAUGGUUGUCAAAAUUCACCAAAGAUGUGAAAUAAAAUUCGAACGUUUCCGUCUUUUUUUAUCCUGA